rnacentral:rRNA from 1 species
GAUGAACGCUGGCGGCGUGCCUAAUACAUGCAAGUCGAGCGAACGGACGAGAAGCUUGCUUCUCUGAUGUUAGCGGCGGACGGGUGAGUAACACGUGGAUAACCUACCUAUAAGACUGGGAUAACUUCGGGAAACCGUAGCUAAUACCGGAUAAUAUUUUGAACCGCAUGGUUCAAAAGUGAAAGACGGUCUUGCUGUCACUUAUAGAUGGAUCCGCGCUGCAUUAGCUAGUUGGUAAGGUAACGGCUUACCGAGGCAACGAUGCAUAGCCGACCUGAGCGGGUGAUCGGCCACCCUGGAACUGAGACACGGUCCAGACUCCUACGGGAGGCAGCAGUAGGGAAUCUUCCGCAAUGGGCGAAAGCCUGACGGAGCAACGCCGCGUGAGUGAUGAAGGUCUUCGGAUCGUAAACCUCUGUUAUUAGGGAAGAACAUAUGUGUAAGUAACUGUGCACAUCUUGACGGUACCUAAUCAGAAAGCCACGGCUAACUACGUG